CAUGUCUUUUUGAUUUUAAUUUAAGGUUUAAUCUGCUCAAUGAUUAUUUAAAUUGCCGCAGUAUUUUGACUGUGCAAAGGUAGCAUAAUAAUUAGUUUUUUAAUUGGAAACUGGAAUGAAUGAUUGGACGAAAAAAUUACUGUCUCUUUUUAAUGAAUUAUUGAAUUUUAUUUAUAAGUAAAAAAGCUUAUAUUUUAAUAAAAGACGAGAAGACCCUAUAGAGUUUAAUAUUUAAAUUUAAUUAUUUUUUAGGAGUUUAUUUUAUUUUUAAUUAUUUAGUUGGGGUGACUUAAAGAUUAAAUUAAUUCUUUAAUUUAUUAAUUGUUGAUUAGUAAUUUAUGAAUCUGGAUUUUUCAAUUUUAAUAUAAAUUACCUUAGGGAUAACAGCGUAAUUUUUCUUUAAAGUUCUUAUUGAAAGAAAAUUUUGCGACCUCGAUGUUGGAUUAAAAUUAAUUUUUGGAGUAGUUGCUUAAAAAUUAGGUCUGUUCGACCUUUAAAAUU
rnacentral:rRNA from 1 species